UACCUGUCAACUCUCAAAUCGGAUCUGUGGUCCUAGCGUAGUCACUCACAUUCAGUCACAAGCACACAUCAGCAAACAAGCUGAAUGGAAGGACUUGCUGCCUUAACUGCCCUAACUGCCACUACUGACCUAACUGCCCUAACUGCCCUAACUGCCAUUACUGCCCUAACUGACCUAACUGCCACUACUGACCUAACUGACCUAACUGCCCUAACUGCCACUACUGCCCUAACUGACCUAACUGCCCUAACUGCCACUACUGACCUAACUGACCUAACUGUCCUAACUGCCAUUACUGCCCUAACUGCCCUAACUGCCCUAACUGCCCUAACUGCCAUUACUGCCCUAACUGCCCUAACUGCCAUUACUGCCCUAACUGCCCUAACUGACCUAACUGCCACUACUGACCUAACUGCCACCCCUCAUGUAGUCCAGAAAUCCAGUGGCUCUCAGCUUUUUGGCCUCAAAACCAAGGAUUACUGUACUUAGUAAGCCACCUGUUGCUGUUUCUGGGGCAGCAACCCUUGCAAUGGACCCUGAGGAUUCAAUAGUAAUACUGCAUCCAAACCAGACCUACUGUUCUACUGAGCACGUCUCCUAACGCACAAACAAAUACAAAUAAGUACUUUAGCCCAGGAUUUCCUGCAAGGGGAGGAUGGCACUCACAGAAAAGCUCAAUCUGAAGGUCUGUCUUUAGUCUGAAGAGAUCAGUAUAUUCAACAUGAAGCUCCUCCCAGUUGUUCUUCAUCACUGUUCAAACAAGUGGGAUUGAGUUCAGAGUAAAUAUGGAUCAUUAUUUAUGUUUGAAAAGAGUGAAAGUAAUUAUGGAUCAUAAAUUAUGUUUGGUGCCUAUAAAUCGUUACAAUCUUUAUGGCAUCUGAUAAUUCAUGUGUACAUUUUCCUACUGAUAGUUUUUCUUUGGUGAUGGUAUUGGAAUCAGGACUCACGAUCAAGUUGUGUCUGCAGUUGUGUCUUUUCCUCAGAGAGAGUCGUGUGAUUCCUGAGUAAGUCCUCUAGGUCCCUCUUGGCCUCUGUUCAGGAGAGGGACUUUGUUGGAUUCCAAUAUAAUCACUCACAGUGGUGUCCAAUUUACAUCUUAAUUUCACUGUAGCCAAUGGUAUUGUGAAUUAAUCUUAUGUCUUUACGUUCAGUUUAGGGUCAGGACUAUGCUCAAAAUGCCUUGUCUGUUUGGAUUGCUGCCUACAAAAUGGCCGCCGUGCUUUAUGUGUACCUGGAGUGUUGAAUACCCUAUCUCUCUGCACAAGGGCAAAAUAGCUACAAACCGCUGAAACAACCUUGUAAAAACUGCCAAUAAUUCCUUUUGAGGUAAAGUUCAGAAUGCUGAUUGUGGAAUUAAACAUGGGUAUGUCAGAUUGGCCUUUUAGGACGAGAUGACAUAUACAACAGGCCUCACAAACUACCUCACGUAACACGGAUGAGAUGACAGUUUUUGACAUUAAAGGGACUUUUCAGACUACAGAGCUGUCACAAGGGAUAUUUAGGAGGUGCUAUUUCCAAACCUGUUGGCGACUCCAGAUGCACAAUCGUUUCAUAAAUCGUGUAGUGUGAAAUAUCAUCGGAGAUAAGAUAGUGAUCGUAAAAAAUGAGUCGUGUAGUGUGAACUGAGAGGCAAUCACACACAUGUGUCUGAAGGGGCCUUAAAUGAUUCACCUUGAUGAACAAAGACAAUAGAUUCCACUGGCGUAGCUACCGCCAUCUGGUGGCCCCUAAGAUAUCACAGAACCCUACUUUCAUCCCUAACGGGCGUAUUGCCAAAUGGUGACAGAACCCUACUUUCAUCCCUAAUCAGCGUAUUGCCAAAUGGUGACAGAACCCUAGUUUCAUCCCUAAUCAGCGUACCGCCAUCUGGUGGCUACUUUUGGGAUGACUGAACAUUCAAGACUACAACUUUAUUUUCUCAUGAUCUGGAAACAUGGUACUUGAAAAUGUGUAGAGAAGAAAAGAAAAAAUUGAUUGUAGGUAUACUUUACCCGCCAGUUCCUUCAACAUGGUCCUAAAUCUUUCCUGUAUGUCUGUAGGGGAAAAGUGGCAGGCUAUGAUUCAGGAACUUAAAAGCUAAAAUGAGCAGGUUGAAUAUAUUUUGUAUAUUUUGGUAUUUAAGGUUUUUUUUAUGAGUAUUAAGACAGUUAUUGGCUCUCUGAAGUACCAUAUCCAGAUCAUAAUUUCAUGUCAAUUUAAUGUGUAUCAUAUGCAAUGUAAAGUUUCUUGUGCAUUUCUGAGUAAGGUUCACAUACAAAUAAUGUUCAUCAAAUAAUAAAAAGUAGCUAGUCUGUAUACCAUCAGUGUGACGGAGUGCCGUCACUAUACGCUUGAGUAUAUAUACAUUAUACAUAUAUUAUUAUAUGUAUAAUAAUUAUUAUAUAUAUAUAAUGAUUUGUCACUCUACGGUUGAGUAUAUAUAUUAUAUGUGUAUAAUGAUGCAAAAUCAUUUCAUCUGAAUGUGCUGUACCAUCUAGUUCCAUCUGUGAGCCCCUGGACAGUCCUGAAGAGAGAGAGAGAAUUGGAUUGGAAGUGAUAGGAAGGAAACAUGUUUCAUUUAAGAUUUAUUUUCAUAGUAUCUUGGUGGAAUGCUAGGAAAUAAAUAGGCUUAAAUUAAAAAACGAUUCUAAAAAGUAGAAUGACUGCAUAUCAGUGAGCACAUACACACAUACACUCACACACACACACACACACACACACACACUCAGUCACACACACUCACACACACACACACACUCUCACACACACUCACACACUCACACACACACACACACACACACACACACACACACACACACACACACACUCAUACACACACACACACACACACACACACUCACCAGAGCUAUUGUUUCUGACGCCAGGCAGGAUCCCCAUCUCACAUUUCUCAUGUAGAAGAUCUAUGGGAGAGGAGAGGGAAAAACAUCAACACCAGGUGCGUGUGCGUGCGUGUGUGUGUG
ensembl:lncRNA